rnacentral:tRNA from 1 species
GGUAAUAUGGCCGAGAAUAGGCAGUGGGCUGUAGACCCAAGUACAGGCGGCAAGCGCCUUAUUACCA